AUUGAACGCUGGCGGCAGGCCUAACACAUGCAAGUCGAACGGUAACAGGAAGCAGCUUGCUGCUUCGCGGACGAGUGGCGGACGGGUGAGUAAUGUCUGGGAAGCUGUCUGAUGGAGGGGGAUAACUACUGGAAACGGUAGCUAAUACCGCAGAGUGUCGCAAGCACAGAGAGGGGGGGCUUCGGGCGGCUGGCCGUCGGGGGCGCCCGGAUGGGGAGCUUGUGGUGGGGGGGGUACGGUUCACCAGGGGGGCUAUCUCUAGCGGGUCUGUGGGGCUGACACGCCACACUGGAGCUGAGACACCGUCCUGACUCCUACGGGAGGCAGCAGUGGGGAAUAUUGCACAAUGGGCGCGAACCUGAUGCAGCCAUGCCGCGUGUAUGAAGAAGGCCUUCGGGUUGUAAAGUACUUUCAGCGGGGAGGAAGGGAGUAAAGUUAAUACCUUUGCUCAUUGACGUUACCCGCAGAAGAAGCACCGGCUAACUCCGUG
rnacentral:rRNA from 1 species